rnacentral:rRNA from 1 species
AACGUAGGAGACAAACGUUAUCCGGAGUUACUGGGCGUAAAGGGCGUGUAGGUGGUUUCGUAAGUCUGGCGUGAAAUUUUUCGGCUUAACCGGGAAAGGUCGUCGGAUACUGUGGAGCUAGAGGACGGUAGAGGCGUGUGGAAUUCCGGGUGUAGUGGUGAAAUGCGUAGAGAUCCGGAGGAACACCAGUGGCGAAGGCGACACGCUGGGCCGUACCUGACACUGAUGCGCGACAGCAUGGGGAGCAAACAGG